rnacentral:rRNA from 3 species
UUCCUGGCGGCCAUAGCGAGCGGGCCCCACCUGAUUCCAUUCCGAACUCAGAAGUGAAAACGCUUAGCGCCGAUGAUAGUGUGGGUCUCCCAUGCGAAAGUAGGUCACCGCCAGGUUU